rnacentral:rRNA from 1 species
GACGAACGCUGGCGGCGUGCUUAACACAUGCAAGUCGUACGGAAAGGCCCUGCUUUUGUGGGGUGCUCGAGUGGCGAACGGGUGAGUAACACGUGAGUAACCUGCCCUUGACUUUGGGAUAACUUCAGGAAACUGGGGCUAAUACCGGAUAGGAGCUCCUGCUGCAUGGUGGGGGCUGGAAAGUUUCGGCGGUUGGGGAUGGACGCGCGGCUUAUCAGCUUGUUGGUGGGGUAGUGGCUUACCAAGGCUUUGACGGGUAGCCGGCCUGAGAGGGUGACCGGCCACAUUGGGACUGAGGUACGGCCCGGACUGCUACGGGAGGCAGCAGUGGGGAAUAUUGCACAAUGGGCGGAAGCCUGAUGCAGCAACGCCGCGUGCGGGAUGACGGCCUUCGGGUUGUAAACCGCUUUCGCCUGUGACGAAGCGUGAGUGACGGUAAUGGGUAAAGAAGCACCGGCUAACUACGUG